GAUGAACGCUGGCGGCGUGCUUAACACAUGCAAGUCGAACGAUGAAGCCCAGCUUGCUGGGUGGAUUAGUGGCGAACGGGUGAGUAACACGUGAGUAACCUGCCCUUAACUCUGGGAUAGGCCUGGGAAACUGGGUCUAAUACCGGAUAGGAGCGUCCACCGCAUGGUGGGUGUUGGAAAGAUUUUUCGGUUUUGGAUGGACUCGCGGCCUAUCAGCUUGUUGGUGAGGUAAUGGCUCACCAAGGCGACGACGGGUAGCCGGCCUGAGAGGGUGACCGGCCACACUGGGACUGAGACACGGCCCAGACUCCUACGGGAGGCAGCAGUGGGGAAUAUUGCACAAUGGGCGCAAGCCUGAUGCAGCGACGCCGCGUGAGGGAUGACGGCCUUCGGGUUGUAAACCUCUUUCAGUAGGGAAGAAGCGAAAGUGACGGUACCUGCAGAAGAAGCACCGGCUAACUACGUG
rnacentral:rRNA from 1 species